AAACAGAAGAUGAUACAAAUUUAUUCAAAGUUUAGUGAUUGAAAUUUCUCAGGAGAAUGGCCCUUCACUCAUUCUGUGGGAUCUUGACCCUCCAAGUGGGCGUUGCCAUCAUAGCUGUUGUUUUUUGGAUGAUAGCAACACUAACAUUUGUUGUAAAUUUUUUUGAAUUCUUCAAUAGUGAUGCUUUUCCUGUCUAUGCUCUCACCAUCUCAACUUUUGUAAUUCUUCUCAUGUUGGCUGGGUUGAUUGCAUUCUUCUCAGCUUAUAAUGAGAGCAACUCCCUGUGUAUGACGGGGGUGGCGCUCACUUGUCUGAUAACAGUUGUGUGGGUCAUCAUUUCUUCCCUUUCCUUUUACAAUGAUCAUUCCAUUCUCAAAUUUGUUUGUAUACAGAAUCGCUGUCCAGAGACUUUUUGGUUAGCCCCUCUAAAAUACAGACUGUCACACAAACAAGAAGAACAUAUUGAUGAAGAACAAGAUGAUUCGUUUACUGAUCCCAGUGAAGAUUCCAAGCAACUUAAGAGAAAGAGAAGUGUUGACAGUCAUAUGAUUGUACAGCUUUCACUUGAAUAUGAUGACUGGCUCAGAAAAAGAAGAGAUACAAAUAAUAAUGCAAUAGUUGGUGACAACAAUGAUCCUGGAGAUACAAAUGACACCGAAGUCUACAAAAGUCGCUACAUAUUCGGCAUGCCUCUGAUUGGUGCUGUCGUUCUCUUCAUAUGCAAUUUUUUCCUUUUCCUGUUCUCAAUCUUGGUCUUGUGGAGCUAUGGGCAAGAGCUGGCCUGGACAAAUUCAUAUCUACGAGAUAUACCUGACUACACAACUACUUGAGUAGCUCGGCAUAGCAAAAGUAUGAGGCUCUCAACUUCAACUUUCCCCCCAAUUGUUAAUUACUACUACUAAAUUGCCAAAAAGUGCAAUGAAGAUAUCAAAAGAAUGAUUAGAAGAAACAACUAACCAAAAAUUGAUUAUUUUGGUCACUUCUAUUUUUUUAAAGAUGCAGAUCUAAAAAAAAACCUCUAAAUCGUUGUCAGAAAUAUUUUGAUUUUUGUCAGUAAUAAAUUGAAAUUUCAGUAA